rnacentral:rRNA from 1 species
GAUGAACGCUGGCGGCGUGCCUAAUACAUGCAAGUCGAGCGAACAGACGAGGAGCUUGCUCCUCUGACGUUAGCGGCGGACGGGUGAGUAACACGUGGAUAACCUACCUAUAAGACUGGGAUAACUUCGGGAAACCGGAGCUAAUACCGGAUAAUAUAUUGAACCGCAUGGUUCAAUAGUGAAAGACGGUUUUGCUGUCACUUAUUGAUGGAUCCGCGCCGCAUUAGCUAGUUGGUAAGGUAACGGCUUACCAAGGCAACGAUGCGUAGCCGACCUGAGAGGGUGAUCGGCCACACUGGAACUUAGACACGGUCCAGACUCCUACGGGAGGCAGCAGUAGGGAAUCUUCCGCAAUGGGCGAAAGCCUGACGGAGCAACGCCGCGUGAGUGAUGAAGGUCUUCGGAUCGUAAAACUCUGUUAUUAGGGAAGAACAAAUGUGUAAGUAACUAUGCACGUCUUGACGGUACCUAAUCAGAAAGCCACGGCUAACUACGUG